rnacentral:rRNA from 1 species
UACGUAGGUGGCAAGCGUUGUCCGGAUUUACUGGGCGUAAAGAGCGCGCAGGCGGUCGUUCAAGUCGCGUGUGAAAGCCCCCGGCUCAACUGGGGAGGGUCACGCGAUACUGAUCGACUCGAAGGCAGGAGAGGGUAGUGGAAUUCCCGGUGUAGUGGUGAAAUGCGUAGAUAUCGGGAGGAACACCAGUGGCGAAGGCGACUACCUGGCCUGUUCUUGACGCUGAGGCGCGAAAGCUAGGAGAGCAAACGGG